GAAAACCCAACCAUCCGAUUAUACUAAUCACAAAAGAAAUUAGGAAAAUAGUCAUUUAUGAAUUUAAAAAUUAAGAACAACAAUGAUACUGG